GGUCCAGUAGCACCUUAAAGACCAACUAAGUUUGUUCUGGGUAUAAGCUAUAAGGCGGGGAAAAGCUUAUACCCAGAACAAACUUAGUUGGUCUCUAAGGUGCUACUGGACA